rnacentral:snoRNA from 1 species
UUCCUCAGCUACUGGUCUGCAGCUGUCCUCAUGGUAGCAGUUGUAGCAUUCCUCUAUGGGAAAGAAAAUGAAAAUGUUACACAAUUUAAUGCCUCUUUCUUGGCCACACAAAAGAAGAAUAUGCUUGACAGAGGCAA